rnacentral:misc_RNA from 1 species
AAGUCGUAACAAGGUUUCCGUAGGUGAACCUGCGGAAGGAUCAUUACCGAGAACAUGCCCCCCGGGGUAGAUCUCCAACCCUAUGCUUACCUGCACUGUUGCUUUGGCAAGCCCGUCGCUGGACCGCUGGCCUCACCGCUAGCCAGCGCUUGCCAGAGGACCCCAAACCCUUUUACAUUACUGUCUGAGCACCAUACAAUCAUUAAAACUUUCAACAACGGAUCUCUUGGUUCUG